rnacentral:rRNA from 1 species
GUGGACUCGGGCUAGUGGCGGACGGGUGAGUAACGCGUGAGAAUCUGCCUUGAGGAUGGGGACAACAGUUGGAAACGACUGCUAAUACCCAAUGUGCCGAAAGGUGAAAAUUUUUUGCCUGAAGAGGAGCUCGCGUCUGAUUAGCUAGUUGGUGGGGUAAAAGCCUACCAAGGCAACGAUCAGUAGCUGGUCUGAGAGGAUGAGCAGCCACACUGGGACUGAGACACGGCCCAGACUCCUACGGGAGGCAGCAGUGGGGAAUUUUCCGCAAUGGGCGAAAGCCUGACGGAGCAAUACCGCGUGAGGGAGGAAGGCCUUUGGGUUGUAAACCUCUUUUCUCAGGGAAGAAGAUCUGACGGUACCUGAGGAAUAAGCAUCGGCUAACUCCGUGCCAGCAGCCGCGGUAAUACGGAGGAUGCAAGCGUUAUCCGGAAUUAUUGGGCGUAAAGCGUCCGCAGGUGGUUUUUCAAGUCUGCUGUUAAAGACCAGAGCUUAACUCUGGGCCGGCGGUGGAAACUGAGAAACUAGAGUUCGGUAGGGGUAGCGGGAAUUCCCAGUGUAGCGGUGAAAUGCGUAGAUAUUGGGAAGAACAUCGGUGGCGAAGGCGCGCUACUGGACCGAAACUGACACUCAGGGACGAAAGCUAGGGU